GACGAACGCUGGCGGCGUGCUUAACACAUGCAAGUCGGACGGUGAAAGCGGAGCUUGCUCCGCUGGAUCAGUGGCGAACGGGUGAGUAACACGUGGGCAACCUGCCCCUCACUUCGGGAUAACUCCGGGAAACCGGGGCUAAUACCGGAUAUGACCUCCUUGGGUAUCCUUGGAGGUGGAAAGUUUUUCGGUGAGGGAUGGGCCCGCGGCCUAUCAGCUUGUUGGUGAGGUAGUGGCUCGCCAAGGCGACGACGGGUAGCCGGCCUGAGAGGGCGACCGGCACACUGGGACUGAGACACGGCCCAGACUCCUACGGGAGGCAGCAGUGGGGAAUAUUGCGCAAUGGGCGAAAGCCUGACGCAGCAACGCCGCGUGCGGGAUGACGGCCUUCGGGUUGUAAACCGCUUUCAGCAGGGAAGAAGCCGCAAGGUGACGGUACCUGCAGAAGAAGCACCGGCUAACUACGUGCCAGCCGCCGCGGUAA
rnacentral:rRNA from 1 species